GGGUUGUGAGGUUAAGCGACUAAGCGUACACGGUGGAUGCCCUGGCAGUCAGAGGCGAUGAAGGACGUGCUAAUCUGCGAAAAGCGUCGGUAAGGUGAUAUGAACCGUUACAGCCGGCGAUGUCCGAAUGGGGAAACCCAGUGCAAUUCGUUGCACUAUCGUUAACUGAAUACAUAGGUUAACGAGGCGAACCGGGGGAACUGAAACAUCUAAGUACCCCGAGGAAAAGAAAUCAACCGAGAUUCCCCCAGUAGCGGCGAGCGAACGGGGAGCAGCCCAGAGUCUGAAUCAGCUUGUGUGUUAGUGGAACGGUCUGGAAAGUCCGACGGUACAGGGUGAUAGUCCCGUACACCAAAAUGCACAGGCUGUGAACUCGAAGAGUAGGGCGGGACACGUGGUAUCCUGUCUGAAUAUGGGGGGACCAUCCUCCAAGGCUAAAUACUCCUGACUGACCGAUAGUGAACCAGUACCGUGAGGGAAAGGCGAAAAGAACCCCGGCGAGGGGAGUGAAAAAGAACCUGAAACCGUGUACGUACAAGCAGUGGGAGCACCUUUAUGGUGUGACUGCGUACCUUUUGUAUAAUGGGUCAGCGACUUAUAUUCUGUAGCAAGGUUAACCGUAUAGGGGAGCCGCAGGGAAACCGAGUCUUAACUGGGCGUUAAGUUGCAGGGUAUAGACCCGAAACCCGGUGAUCUAGCCAUGGGCAGGUUGAAGGUUGGGUAACACUAACUGGAGGACCGAACCGACUAAUGUUGAAAAAUUAGCGGAUGACUUGUGGCUGGGGGUGAAAGGCCAAUCAAACCGGGAGAUAGCUGGUUCUCCCCGAAAGCUAUUUAGGUAGCGCCUCGUGAACUCAUCUUCGGGGGUAGAGCACUGUUUCGGCUAGGGGGUCAUCCCGACUUACCAACCCGAUGCAAACUACGAAUACCGAAGAAUGUUAUCACGGGAGACACACGGCGGGUGCUAACGUCCGUCGUGAAGAGGGAAACAACCCAGACCGCCAGCUAAGGUCCCAAAGUCAUGGUUAAGUGGGAAACGAUGUGGGAAGGCACAGACAGCCAGGAUGUUGGCUUAGAAGCAGCCAUCAUUUAAAGAAAGCGUAAUAGCUCACUGGUCGAGUCGGCCUGCGCGGAAGAUGUAACGGGGCUAAACCAUGCACCGAAGCUGCGGCAGCGACACUAUGUGUUGUUGGGUAGGGGAGCGUUCUGUAAGCCUGCGAAGGUGACCUGUGAGGGUUGCUGGAGGUAUCAGAAGUGCGAAUGCUGACAUAAGUAACGAUAAAGCGGGUGAAAAGCCCGCUCGCCGGAAGACCAAGGGUUCCUGUCCAACGUUAAUCGGGGCAGGGUGAGUCGACCCCUAAGGCGAGGCCGAAAGGCGUAGUCGAUGGGAAACAGGUUAAUAUUCCUGUACUUGGUGUUACUGCGAAGGGGGGACGGAGAAGGCUAUGUUAGCCGGGCGACGGUUGUCCCGGUUUAAGCAUGUAGGCUGGUUAUCCAGGCAAAUCCGGAUAAUCAAGGCUGAGGUGUGAUGACGAGGCACUACGGUGCUGAAGUAACAAAUGCCCUGCUUCCAGGAAAAGCCUCUAAGCAUCAGGUAACACGAAAUCGUACCCCAAACCGACACAGGUGGUCAGGUAGAGAAUACCAAGGCGCUUGAGAGAACUCGGGUGAAGGAACUAGGCAAAAUGGUGCCGUAACUUCGGGAGAAGGCACGCUGGUGUGUAGGUGAAGUCCCUGCGGAUGGAGCUGAGACCAGUCGAAGAUACCAGCUGGCUGCAACUGUUUAUUAAAAACACAGCACUGUGCAAACACGAAAGUGGACGUAUACGGUGUGACGCCUGCCCGGUGCCGGAAGGUUAAUUGAUGGGGUUAUCCGUAAGGAGAAGCUCUUGAUCGAAGCCCCGGUAAACGGCGGCCGUAACUAUAACGGUCCUAAGGUAGCGAAAUUCCUUGUCGGGUAAGUUCCGACCUGCACGAAUGGCGUAAUGAUGGCCAGGCUGUCUCCACCCGAGACUCAGUGAAAUUGAACUCGCUGUGAAGAUGCAGUGUACCCGCGGCAAGACGGAAAGACCCCGUGAACCUUUACUAUAGCUUGACACUGAACAUUGAGCCUUGAUGUGUAGGAUAGGUGGGAGGCUUUGAAGCGUGGACGCCAGUCUGCGUGGAGCCAACCUUGAAAUACCACCCUUUAAUGUUUGAUGUUCUAACGUUGGCCCCUGACCGGGGUUGCGGACAGUGUCUGGUGGGUAGUUUGACUGGGGCGGUCUCCUCCCAAAGCGUAACGGAGGAGCACGAAGGUUAGCUAAUCCUGGUCGGACAUCAGGAGGUUAGUGCAAUGGCAUAAGCUAGCUUGACUGCGAGCGUGACGGCGCGAGCAGGUGCGAAAGCAGGUCAUAGUGAUCCGGUGGUUCUGAAUGGAAGGGCCAUCGCUCAACGGAUAAAAGGUACUCCGGGGAUAACAGGCUGAUACCGCCCAAGAGUUCAUAUCGACGGCGGUGUUUGGCACCUCGAUGUCGGCUCAUCACAUCCUGGGGCUGAAGUAGGUCCCAAGGGUAUGGCUGUUCGCCAUUUAAAGUGGUACGCGAGCUGGGUUUAGAACGUCGUGAGACAGUUCGGUCCCUAUCUGCCGUGGGCGCUGGAGAAUUGAGGGGGGCUGCUCCUAGUACGAGAGGACCGGAGUGGACGCAUCACUGGUGUUCGGGUUGUCAUGCCAAUGGCACUGCCCGGUAGCUAAAUGCGGAAGAGAUAAGUGCUGAAAGCAUCUAAGCACGAAACUUGCCCCGAGAUGAGUUCUCCCUGAGACUUUAAGUCUCCUGAAGGAACGUUGAAGACGACGACGUUGAUAGGCCGGGUGUGUAAGCGCAGCGAUGCGUUGAGCUAACCGGUACUAAUGAACCGUGAGGCUUAACCUUACAACGCCGAAG
rnacentral:rRNA from 1 species